CAAAAAACCCACCCCUAUCGAGGUGAGCCUCCAGGGGUGGUGGCCCCCGGGAGGCGGGGCCGAGGGCUCAACCUGGAGUUGCACCGACCGCUCCCCAGGGCGCUUCCUUCCUCCGGCCAGUAGGCGUCAGGCCAGCUCGAGCAGGCCGCCGUCGGCCAACAAGCCCUGAGUACGGUUGUAGACAUCCUCUAGGGUGCCCGCGGCCCGGACCAGCGCGUUCCGCGCCUCCGCCUCUUUGGAACCCGGACACGCCAGCUCGAGCAAGCGGCCGCGACCCGGGAAGGCGAGGAAUGCGAGCUCCAUCCCACACAGUCCCACCUCCUUCUUCCGACAAUCGCCGCAGAAGACACCAAUGGACGCGUUCACCAGCUGCACCCCACACAGCAAAAUCUCCAGGCACGAGGCGGCCACCAGCAGCGAGAAGAGUGUCACGUUCCAGUAGACCACACCAGGCGGCUCCACGCACGAGCUCCACUGAGUGCGGUUGAGCAGGUAGGAGCCUCUGCGGGCGGGGCAGGGUCACGGGAGAGGAGGUCACGCGGAGCGCGCCCCCCUCGGGGCUCCCCGCCCCGCGCAGGCGCCGAGGGGGAUAUGCAAAGGACUCGUUCGGCCCACGUGGAGGAAGCUGUCUCGAAGCCGAAUCCCACCUAGGUUUCUCGGUCCACGUGGGAAAGGCAGGUGGGCAGCAGCAGAGAAUGGGGGCGGGGGCGCGAAUACAGGCUGAGCCUUACGCGGUGUGUUGGAAGUGGUAGUCCCAGGAGCCGUGCAUUAAGCAUCGUGGUCCAAUUCGGAGCCCGGCUCCUGAUACCGAGAGGCAGUAGAUGGCACCAAGCAUCCCGAACGCCGAGCAGAAGACCGAUCGCAGCAUCUGGAUACAGAGUGCGAGGAGAGCGAUUCCCACAGCAGCCUGCACCACAACAGCCUUUGCCCCCUGCCCGGACGGCGGAAAUUCCUGGACACAGUACCUGUGGGAUCAGAGUCGAUGUGAUAGCGAGUCAUGCAGGUCCCCAACUUGGAUCAGCACUUACCCCGUAUUGUGACGAGCAAUAGCUGACUGACACAGACCCCAUUAUCUAAGCCACAGCUGAUUGAUCCAAGAAGGAGUAGCCAACCCAAAAGGAGACAUGAAACCAGAGACCUUUGUGGUUGCUUGAGAUCAGGAAACUGGAAGAGACUGCAUUGGAAUCCUGGCAGUUUGGCUCCAGGGUCUGUGCUCCUGACCGUAAUGCUCUGUUGCUUCCGCUCAGAGAGGGGAGCCUCUCGGAGGAGGCCUGAAGGACUGGAGGAGACAGCCACGUGAUGAGCUGGAGGCAAAGCACAUUCUGGUUGAGGGAAGAGGCAAAGGCUCUGGGGGAGAAGAGUCGUAUUAAGGAACCAGAAAGAGAUCAGUGAUUAGGAUGGGGCAGAGGGGUCCGAGAGGAGGAGACAGGCAAGAUGAGAGAGGUAGGCAGGGGCUAGAUCAUGUAGGGCCUUCUGGGGAGUCUAGAAGGCAUUGGAGGGUUUUAAGCAAGGGAGUGACAUGAUCUUAUUUAAUUUUUAAAAGAUUAUUUUGGUGAUGCCUGGCAAAUGGAUUGUAUUGGCGGAGGGGGGGAAGAGUGGAAGCAGGGGGACCAAUGUGAGGAGGCUAUCACAGUAGCCCAGGUGAGAAAUGACGUAGGUGUGGACCAGGGGGAUGCAUAGGGAGAGAACUGGAUUGCGGAUGAGUUGAAUGUGGAGGUGAUGGAUAAAAAGAUGGUUUCUAAAUUUGGGGUUUGGACAACUGAAUGGGUAAUGUUUUUUCUUCCCUGAGGUGGGGAAGUCAAAACCAUGGGAGUGAGAGGUAUGGAGGGAGACCCAGGCAUAAGAGUGAUGCUGUUCAGAGGACCCUAUGAAUUUCGGCUGAGGAUGUUUCGUAAUGUAACCUGGGUAGGGUGGAGGGUGAAUGCUCUCUUAGCUUGGCGAAGCCAGUGUUAUCAGCCAGGUGAGGACCAGAUGGAGUCUUCAGAAGGGAAAUAUUCAUCAGAUGGGGUGGAGUGUUUGAAUUCAGGGUGUAGACACCCUGCAGAUACAACCCUUCAGCAUUUCUCUUCUCUUCCCUCUCCCAGCUGAGACCCCUGGAGACUGAGCUCGCUGCACCCACGCACCCACAGUCGCCCUCCACUGUAUGUUUGUGGUGAGUAGGCACUCAGAUACCAGGAAAAAUGCAUUUGGCUAUAAUGUUUACAAGGCCCAAGAAGGUUUGGGGAAUAGAUUCUUUCCAUAGGAAGGAAGGGGUGGUGUUUCCUGAGAAAAGGGCAUCAACUCAGCAGGAACUGGGAGAGAAUCGUGGAAAGAGGUAGAGCGUUGGAAAUGAGUUAUCUGACAGUGAGACACAAUCUCGGGUGUGGGGCAAGGGACAAGGUCACUAGAGCAGGAGUUCCAUGCCUGCUGUCUCUCUCCUCGUUCCCUCCAGGGGAAGAUAUCUAAAUGUUGCAGUAAAUAUUGUUUACCUCCUUAUAAUGGGAAGCUAGCAAGGCAGAAUCCUGAGCAGGGGAGGGUCACUUCCUGGUCAGUGUCACCCAAGAGGCAUCAGUCACUGCAUCCUCAUCAGGGACCACUGAGUGUUAAGGAAGAGAUGCCCACAGAGGGCAGGGCAGCCGGGAAUACAUUGUGCUCCAUCCCCCUCUAUAGGUUUCUCUCUAGAGGGUCGUUAGAGACACUGUGUGGAACCAUGAGAGGGGGCUUGCCCAUGAUCCCCUUUUUCCUUGAGUUAUUUUGGGUGAUGUAUUCAUUUGCUAAGGCUGCCAUAACAAAGUACCAGGGACUGGGUGACUUAAAGAGCAGACAUUUAUUUCUCACAGUUUCAGGAGGUCAGAAGUCUGAGAUCAAGGCAUUAGUAGGAUUGGUUUCUUCUGCGGCCCCUUUGUUUGGCUUGUAGGUGGCGGCCAUCUCCCUGUGUCUUCACAUGAUCUUUCUUCUUUACACGUUGGUGUCCAGAUUUCCUCUUUUUAUAAGGACAUCCGUCAUAUUGGAUUAGGACCCACUGUAAUGAUCUCUUUUUGACUUUAUUACCUCUUUAAAGACCCUGUCUCCAAAUACAGUCACAUUCUGAGGUACUGGGGAUUAAUACUUCAACAUAUGAAUUUUGGGGAGAUACAAUUGAACCCUUAACAGGUGGGUAAGUCUCCCUUACAACCACAGAGCAAGAUUAGAACAAUAAUAACAAGCUCUAUCUGUAACUCCCAGUUUAUCAACAUUAUCUGAGGAGGGGAGGAAACAGAUAUGCUUAACUUCUUGAUUUAACUGGGGAGACUCAUAGCAUGUUA